rnacentral:rRNA from 1 species
AGUGAACGCUGGCGGUAGGCCUAACACAUGCAAGUCGAGCGGCAGCACAGUAAGAGCUUGCUCUUACGGGUGGCGAGUGGCGGACGGGUGAGGAAUACAUCGGAAUCUACUUUUUCGUGGGGGAUAACGUAGGGAAACUUACGCUAAUACCGCAUACGACCUACGGGUGAAAGCAGGGGAUCUUCGGACCUUGCGCGAUUGAAUGAGCCGAUGUCGGAUUAGCUAGUUGGCGGGGUAAAGGCCCACCAAGGCGACGAUCCGUAGCUGGUCUGAGAGGAUGAUCAGCCACACUGGAACUGAGACACGGUCCAGACUCCUACGGGAGGCAGCAGUGGGGAAUAUUGGGCAAUGGGCGCAAGCCUGAUCCAGCCAUACCGCGUGGGUGAAGAAGGCCUUCGGGUUGUAAAGCCCUUUUGUUGGGAAAGAAAAGCAGCAGGUUAAUACCCCGCCGUUCUGACGGUACCCAAAGAAUAAGCACCGGCUAACUUCGUG